rnacentral:rRNA from 1 species
GGGUUGUGAGGUUAAGCGACUAAGCGUACACGGUGGAUGCCCUGGCAGUCAGAGGCGAUGAAGGACGUGCUAAUCUGCGAAAAGCGUCGGUAAGGUGAUAUGAACCGUUAUAACCGGCGAUGUCCGAAUGGGGAAACCCAGUGUGAUUCGUCACACUAUCGUUAACUGAAUACAUAGGUUAACGAGGCGAACCGGGGGAACUGAAACAUCUAAGUACCCCGAGGAAAAGAAAUCAACCGAGAUUCCCCCAGUAGCGGCGAGCGAACGGGGAGCAGCCCAGAGUCUGAAUCAGCUUGUGUGUUAGUGGAACGGUCUGGAAAGUCCGACGGUACAGGGUGAUAGUCCCGUACACCAAAAUGCACAGGCUGUGAACUCGAAGAGUAGGGCGGGACACGUGGUAUCCUGUCUGAAUAUGGGGGGACCAUCCUCCAAGGCUAAAUACUCCUGACUGACCGAUAGUGAACCAGUACCGUGAGGGAAAGGCGAAAAGAACCCCGGCGAGGGGAGUGAAAAAGAACCUGAAACCGUGUACGUACAAGCAGUGGGAGCACCUUUAUGGUGUGACUGCGUACCUUUUGUAUAAUGGGUCAGCGACUUAUAUUCUGUAGCAAGGUUAACCGUAUAGGGGAGCCGCAGGGAAACCGAGUCUUAACUGGGCGUUAAGUUGCAGGGUAUAGACCCGAAACCCGGUGAUCUAGCCAUGGGCAGGUUGAAGGUUGGGUAACACUAACUGGAGGACCGAACCGACUAAUGUUGAAAAAUUAGCGGAUGACUUGUGGCUGGGGGUGAAAGGCCAAUCAAACCGGGAGAUAGCUGGUUCUCCCCGAAAGCUAUUUAGGUAGCGCCUCGUGAACUCAUCUUCGGGGGUAGAGCACUGUUUCGGCUAGGGGGUCAUCCCGACUUACCAACCCGAUGCAAACUACGAAUACCGAAGAAUGUUAUCACGGGAGACACACGGCGGGUGCUAACGUCCGUCGUGAAGAGGGAAACAACCCAGACCGCCAGCUAAGGUCCCAAAGUCAUGGUUAAGUGGGAAACGAUGUGGGAAGGCACAGACAGCCAGGAUGUUGGCUUAGAAGCAGCCAUCAUUUAAAGAAAGCGUAAUAGCUCACUGGUCGAGUCGGCCUGCGCGGAAGAUGUAACGGGGCUAAACCAUGCACCGAAGCUGCGGCAGCGACACUAUGUGUUGUUGGGUAGGGGAGCGUUCUGUAAGCCUGCGAAGGUGACCUGUGAGGGUUGCUGGAGGUAUCAGAAGUGCGAAUGCUGACAUAAGUAACGAUAAAGCGGGUGAAAAGCCCGCUCGCCGGAAGACCAAGGGUUCCUGUCCAACGUUAAUCGGGGCAGGGUGAGUCGACCCCUAAGGCGAGGCCGAAAGGCGUAGUCGAUGGGAAACAGGUUAAUAUUCCUGUACUUGGUGUUACUGCGAAGGGGGGACGGAGAAGGCUAUGUUAGCCGGGCGACGGUUGUCCCGGUUUAAGCAUGUAGGCUGAUUAUCCAGGCAAAUCCGGAUAAUCAAGGCUGAGGUGUGAUGACGAGGCACUACGGUGCUGAAGUAACAAAUGCCCUGCUUCCAGGAAAAGCCUCUAAGCAUCAGGUAACAUCAAAUCGUACCCCAAACCGACACAGGUGGUCAGGUAGAGAAUACCAAGGCGCUUGAGAGAACUCGGGUGAAGGAACUAGGCAAAAUGGUGCCGUAACUUCGGGAGAAGGCACGCUGGUGUGUAGGUGAAGUCCCUGCGGAUGGAGCUGAGACCAGUCGAAGAUACCAGCUGGCUGCAACUGUUUAUUAAAAACACAGCACUGUGCAAACACGAAAGUGGACGUAUACGGUGUGACGCCUGCCCGGUGCCGGAAGGUUAAUUGAUGGGGUUAUCCGUAAGGAGAAGCUCUUGAUCGAAGCCCCGGUAAACGGCGGCCGUAACUAUAACGGUCCUAAGGUAGCGAAAUUCCUUGUCGGGUAAGUUCCGACCUGCACGAAUGGCGUAAUGAUGGCCAGGCUGUCUCCACCCGAGACUCAGUGAAAUUGAACUCGCUGUGAAGAUGCAGUGUACCCGCGGCAAGACGGAAAGACCCCGUGAACCUUUACUAUAGCUUGACACUGAACAUUGAGCCUUGAUGUGUAGGAUAGGUGGGAGGCUUUGAAGCGUGGACGCCAGUCUGCGUGGAGCCAACCUUGAAAUACCACCCUUUAAUGUUUGAUGUUCUAACGUUGGCCCCUUAUCGGGGUUGCGGACAGUGUCUGGUGGGUAGUUUGACUGGGGCGGUCUCCUCCCAAAGCGUAACGGAGGAGCACGAAGGUUAGCUAAUCCUGGUCGGACAUCAGGAGGUUAGUGCAAUGGCAUAAGCUAGCUUGACUGCGAGCGUGACGGCGCGAGCAGGUGCGAAAGCAGGUCAUAGUGAUCCGGUGGUUCUGAAUGGAAGGGCCAUCGCUCAACGGAUAAAAGGUACUCCGGGGAUAACAGGCUGAUACCGCCCAAGAGUUCAUAUCGACGGCGGUGUUUGGCACCUCGAUGUCGGCUCAUCACAUCCUGGGGCUGAAGUAGGUCCCAAGGGUAUGGCUGUUCGCCAUUUAAAGUGGUACGCGAGCUGGGUUUAGAACGUCGUGAGACAGUUCGGUCCCUAUCUGCCGUGGGCGCUGGAGAAUUGAGGGGGGCUGCUCCUAGUACGAGAGGACCGGAGUGGACGCAUCACUGGUGUUCGGGUUGUCAUGCCAAUGGCACUGCCCGGUAGCUAAAUGCGGAAGAGAUAAGUGCUGAAAGCAUCUAAGCACGAAACUUGCCCCGAGAUGAGUUCUCCCUGAGACUAUAAGUCUCCUGAAGGAACGUUGAAGACGACGACGUUGAUAGGCCGGGUGUGUAAGCGCAGCGAUGCGUUGAGCUAACCGGUACUAAUGAACCGUGAGGCUUAACCUUACAACGCCGAAG